rnacentral:rRNA from 1 species
AGAUUGAACGCUGGCGGCAGGCCUAACACAUGCAAGUCGAGCGGUAGAGAGGUGCUUGCAUCUCUUGAGAGCGGCGGACGGGUGAGUCAUGCCUAGGAAUCUGCCUAGUGGUGGGGGAUAACGUUCGGAAACGGACGCUAAUACCGCAUACGUCCUACGGGAGAAAGCGGGGGACCUUCGGGGCCUCGCGCCAUUAGAUGAGCCUAGGUCGAUUAGCUAGUGGUGAGGUAAUGGCUCACCAAGGCGACG